UACGUAGGGGGGCAAGCGUUGUCCGGAUUUAUUGGGCGUAAAGAGCGUGUAGGCGGCCAGGUAGGUCCGUUGUGAAAACUCGAGGCUCAACCUCGAGACGCCGAUGGAAACCGCAUGGCUAGAGUCCGGAAGAGGAGAGUGGAAUUCCUGGUGUAGCGGUGAAAUGCGCAGAUAUCAGGAAGAACACCCGUGGCUAAGGCGGCUCUCUAGUACGGUACUGACGCUGAGACGCGAAAGCGUGGGGAGCGAACAGGG
rnacentral:rRNA from 1 species